rnacentral:rRNA from 1 species
GACGAACGCUGGCGGCGUGCUUAACACAUGCAAGUCGAGCGGAGCGGCGAACGGGUGAGUAACGCGUGAGUAACUGCCCCCCUCCCUGGGAUAACCGUUGGCAACGGCUGCUAAUACCUGAUAGUGGGGGAUGACUCUCGGCCUAUCAGCUUGUUGGUGGGGUAGUGGCCUACGAAGGCGACGCCGGGUAGCCGGCCUGAGAGGGCGACCGGCCACAGUGGGCUGAGAUACGGACCAAACUCGUACGGGAGGCAGCAGUGGGGAAUAUUGCACAAUGGGGGAAACCCUGAUGCAGCGACGCCGCGUGCGGGAUGACGGCCUUCGGGUUGUAAACCGCUUUCAGCCAUGACGCGGUAGUGGCAGAAUAAGCACCGGCUAACUUCGUGCCAGCCGCCGCGGUAAUUC